rnacentral:rRNA from 1 species
UUGACCUCAAAUCAGGUAGGAUUACCCGCUGAACUUAAGCAUAUCAAUAAGCGGAGGAAAAGAAACUAACAAGGAUUSGANNUAGUAACGG